UGGGGAAUUUUGGACAAUGGGCGCAAGCCUGAUCCAGCCAUGCCGCGUGAGUGAAGAAGGCCCUCGGGUUGUAAAGCUCUUUCGGCCGGGAAGAAAUCGUGUUCUCUAACAUAGGACAUGGAUGACGGUACCGGACUAAGAAGCACCGGCUAACUACGUGCC
rnacentral:rRNA from 1 species